GAUGAACGCUGGCGGCGUGCCUAAUACAUGCAAGUCGAGCGAACGGACGAGAAGCUUGCUUCUCUGAUGUUAGCGGCGGACGGGUGAGUAACACGUGGAUAACCUACCUAUAAGACUGGGAUAACUUCGGGAAACCGGAGCUAAUACCGGAUAAUAUUUUGAACCGCAUGGUUCAAAAGUGAAAGACGGUCUUGCUGUCACUUAUAGAUGGAUCCGCGCUGCAUUAGCUAGUUGGUAAGGUAACGGCUUACCAAGGCAACGAUGCAUAGCCGACCUGAGAGGGUGAUCGGCCACACUGGAACUGAGCCACGGUCCAGACUCCUACGGGAGGCAGCAGUAGGGAAUCUUCCGCAAUGGGCGAAAGCCUGACGGAGCAACGCCGCGUGAGUGAUGAAGGUCUUCGGAUCGUAAAGCUCUGUUAUUAGUGAAGAACAUAUGUGUAAGUAACUGUGCACAUCUUGACGGUACCUAAUCAGAAAGCCACGGCUAACUACGUG
rnacentral:rRNA from 1 species